AGAUGCAACAACAUUUUCCUCACUUCCUGGAAAUGGCUCUGUUCUAGCAUUUUGACAUUAUCCAGGAGAUGCCUUAGUGAUGGGGAUGGUUAAGUCAGAGCACCUCAAAGAGUCUGAGUGUUGAAUCUUCCAAAGUGUUCAAAUCUGUGAUAAGGGAAAUUAAGCACAAGAUCUUUGGAAAAACAACAACAACAACAACAACAACAACAAACUGCUAUUCACUCCAAAAUGAUGAAGGCAAGCUAACUGGAAUGGAAAAAAAAGACGCUCUGAAUGUCACGUAUGCUUCCUGGCUACACUCAAGGUCUCAAGGAAUGGAUGUGCCUGAUCCCCUGUCUUACCAGAUAAGGGCCCUCACUGAGGAUGCUCUAGGAACCCACAAGGUGGAGAAGAGGUGCCCCUUUCUUGAAGGAGUUGGAUUAUCCUUUAACUACCUGGGCCUGCUGAUUGGAGUUGCUGUGCUUACUGUAAUCUUGCAUGUUAGUUAUUGGUCUUGUGUGACUCGUGACUAGAACAUA